CACGAACGCUGGCGGCGCGCCUAACACAUGCAAGUCGAACGGGGUGCGUUCGGAUGAAGUUUUCGGAUGGAUUUUGGAUGUACCUAGUGGCGAACGGGUGAGUAACACGUGAAUAACCUGCCCUGGAGUGGGGGACAACAGUUGGAAACGCCUGCUAAUACCGCAUAAGCCCACAGAGCCGCAUGGCUCAGGGGGAAAAGGAGCAAUUCGCUUCAGGAUGGAUUCGCGUCCAAUUAGCUAGAUGGUGAGGUAACGGCCCACCAUGGCAACGAUUGGUAGCCGGACUGAGAGGUUGAUCGGCCACAUUGGGACUGAGACACGGCCCAGACUCCUACGGGAGGCAGCAGUGGGGAAUAUUGCACAAUGGGGGAAACCCUGAUGCAGCGACGCCGCGUGGAGGAAGAAGGUCUUCGGAUUGUAAACUCCUGUCGUUGGGGACGAUAAUGACGGUACCCAACAAGAAAGCCACGGCUAACUACGUGCCAGCCGCCGCGGUAAAAC
rnacentral:rRNA from 1 species